AAGGAGAGACACCAGAGAGCUGGCUCUCUCAGCCCUGUGAGGACAUGGCCAGAAGGCAGCCGUCUACAAGGCAGGAAGAGAAUCCUCACCAGGAACCUAAUGGCUGACACCUUGAUCUUGGACUUCCAGCCUCCAGAACUAGCCAGCUUGCAGGACCCAGCACCCACGAUCCUGGGCUCUGCCUCCCCGUUCCCCUCCCCAACACCCACUGCCCUCAGGGACCCGGCCACCCUGGCCUGACACUCACAGGACACGUUGAGCUGGAUGGUUCUCUCUGCGCUCACAUCAGCUCCGGGGAGCAGCUGUAGUUCCUAAUGUCCUGGAGGAGGUGGAAUCGUCCCUGGGUCUUCGCCUCCACUUCACGAUAUGGGUGGUUUGUGGCCACAGGAGCACCAAGGUCUGUA